rnacentral:rRNA from 1 species
CCUGACGAGUGGCGAACGGGUGAGUAAUGCAUCGGAACGUACCCAGUCGUGGGGGAGUAACGUAGCGAAAGUUACGCUAAUACCGCAUACGUCCUGAGGGAGAAAGCGGGGGACCGGUAAGGCCUCGCGCGAUUGGAGCGGCCGAUGUCGGAUUAGCUAGUUGGUAGGGUAAAGGCCUACCAAGGCGACGAUCCGUAGCGGGUCUGAGAGGAUGAUCCGCCACACUGGGACUGAGACACGGCCCAG